rnacentral:lncRNA from 1 species
GAUAAACUCCAAUUUAGUGUAUUAUAUGUAGAUACUUUUUGUAGUAUUUUAGAAUAGUUACUUAUUAUUAUAUAGAUUACUCACUUAAUUUGCAUUAUAUUAUACAAAAGAGAAGAAAAGCUACAAAGAUGCAAAUCCACUUUUUGAAUCACUUAAAAUAAAUAUUAUAUACANNNNNNUUAUUAUUAUUAUUAUUAUUAUUAUUAUUAUUAUUAUUAUUAUUAUUAUUAUUAUUAUUAUUAUUAUUAUUAUUAUUAUUAUAUACUUACCAUUUUGUGUCUAAUUAUGCAAGCCCACAUAUGAAAUCUCACGCUGGCCCAAUGAAAAGAAAGGAGACAUGCAUUGGAAAAAAGCUGGCAUCCAAACAAGUUGUUAUUGAGGCGGCAAUCAAAAGAACAAAAUGCAGAACAAGUUGCAAAGACAAUUGAGGGGAUUUUACAAAUUAAAAGGUCUGAGAACUCAAACACAAGUGGCUGAGGCGGUGAAGCAAUGGAAAGUCUUAAAACUUAAGAAAACAUCAGAGGCGGUAACUGAAGCUAUAAAUAGAGCUUCUUGGUUUCAAUUGAAAAUCAUGCUUUCUUCUGUUCUGUAACACGGCUGAGAGAGGAAAAUUGGAGAAGCUUUGGAUUGAAGAUUGNNN